GCCACGGUUGUCUAGCGGUUAAAACGCUGGGCUUGUAAUCCUGGGUUCCCGGGUUCGAUUCCCGGCGGUGCCC
rfam:Zootermopsis nevadensis contig18829, whole genome shotgun sequence.